rnacentral:rRNA from 1 species
UUCCGGUUGAUCCUGCCGGACCUGACUGCUAUCGGAUUGAUACUAAGCCAUGCUAGUCUUUGCAGUAAUGCAAGGCAUACGGCUCAGUAACACGUAGUCAACUUACCCUAUGGACGAGGAUAAUCUCGGGAAACUGAGCAUAAUACUCGAUAGAUCAUAAUGCCUGGAAUGGUUUAUGGUUAAAAUGAUUCGUCGCCAUAGGAUGGGACUGCGGCCUAUCAGCUUGUUGGUGAGGUAAUGGCCCACCAAGGCGAUUACAGGUACGGGCUCUGAGAGGAGAAGCCCGGAGAUGGGUACUGAGACAAGGACCCAGGCCCUAUGGGGCGCAGCAGGCGAGAAAACUUUGCAAUGUGCGAAAGCACGACAAGGUUAAUCCGAGUGAUUUCUGCUAAAGAAAUCUUUUGCAAGUCAUAAAACCACUAGUGAAUAAGGGGUGGGCAAGUUCUGGUGUCAGCCGCCGCGGUAAAACCAGCACCUCAAGUGGUCAGGAGGAUUAUUGGGCCUAAAGCAUCCGUAGCCGGCUCUGUAAGUUUUCGGUUAAAUCCAUGUGCUCAACGCAUGGGCUGCCGAAAAUACUGCAUAGCUAGGGAGUGGGAGAGGUAGACGGUACUCGGUAGGAAGGGGUAAAAUCCUUUGAUCUAUCGAUGACCACCUGUGGCGAAGGCGGUCUACCAGAACACGUUCGACGGUGAGGGAUGAAAGCUGGGGGAGCAAACCGGAUUAGAUACCCGGGUAGUCCCAGCUGUAAACGAUGCAGACUCGAUGAUGCAUUGGCAUAUAGCCAGUGCAGUGUCGCAGGGAAGCCGUUAAGUCUGCCGCCUGGGAAGUACGUACGCAAGUAUGAAACUUAAAGGAAUUGGCGGGGGAGCACCACAAGGGGUGAAGCCUGCGGUUCAAUUGGAUUCAACGCCGGG